UUAUCUUCCCAGGAUAAGGAGAUGACCUAUUUGCACCCUUGGUUUCUGGCUGUUUCAUGCAGUGUGCGAGUAAAGUAAGACGUUUUACCAGGGAAAAGGUGCAGCUGCCGCUCUCCCAGAUGCGGCGAGAUCGGGAAGCCUCCCGAGUGGGUAUAUGGGGUACGGAAGUAGCAUAAACAGGUGGAAACAUGAGAUUAACUAAGGCUGAGUUGAAAGAAAGAUUCUGAAAAUAAGCCCAUCAACUUACAAAACCAAAGACAUAACAUUUCGGUCAUCGUCAUUCUACCUCACAAGCUUAGGGAACAUGGAUUUCACUAACUCAUGGGCCCUCAUUUGUUAGCAGGAGUCUUGUUGGAUAAUGACAGCCUAGCGUAGCUAGUAAAACACACCUUUUGGCCCCAUGAAGGGAGAAGAUUCAUGGUGUUACAGUCAUACUUCAUUAACACAAAGUUUUCACUGUUAGUGAAAAAAAAAUAGCAGCAAGACAAUUAUGAUAAAAUGAUUUUAUUCAAUCAGUUUAGUUUUCUUGCAUGUGAAUAGAAUGAAAAGCAAAUUUAUCCACAAAUGUAUUUAAAGUAUAAAAUUUUUAUGUUAAUGAAAUUACUUCUAGGUAUAUACAGUAGAGAAAUAAUCUAAUCAACAGAUAUCUGUAACAUGGAAAUAUUUGCUCUAUAAAGCAAAUGAUAUUUCAUAUUUUCUUGAGGAUAAAAUGAGAGGAGUUCUUCUAUUUAAAUCCCCAAGUGAUCAAAGAUAUAGCUAGAAGAUGACAGAAAAUUAAAUAUUAUGGCUUAGAACACAAUGAAUAAUAAAAGAAAUCAAACUCCCUCAAAGUCUCUCACACUUGGACAGAAAUACUUUCAGUUCCUGAGGAGGAAACAUGUUUGACUUCUAGAAAGACCUCGAGGUGUGCAAUUGUGCUGUAGAAAGGCCAGGAAUGGAAACAUUUUUUUUCCAGAGCUGUGCUGCCUUUCUCCUCCCUCUAAACCACAUUUUCUUUUGGGAAAUAUGUCAUCAUCUUUCCCUACUCAGACACAAGCCACUUAAUAUUGCAUACGUCUCAGUAGUCUUAUAAAUGUCCAAAAACAAUACCUCACCCCAGAAAUACUUCCGAUGUAGUUCAUUGUCCUUCAUUUUUCAUGCUGGCUGGACCCUCCUCACUUACACACAAGGCUCUGGCCCGGCUUUGGUCAUGAGGCUGUACAGUCAGUGCUAACUGGGUCUGGACAACGUUCUGUGUUCUAUAAAGAACUUUGGCAUUAUCUGAAUUGCUGCUGGAUUGCAGAGUGACUCCGUGCAUGUUGCAGGACGGUGGGAGAAGCAGCUUGUGAUUCUCAAGAGGUACAUCGAAUUGGCACCAGGUCACUUAACCUUCAGGGCUGAAUGAAGAGGGACAGCUAGUGAGAAGGGCAUUGUGCUUGAUGAAGAUUCAAGAGGCCUCUCGGUGGUACAUCAGGGUGAGUCACAGGAUGAAACAUUCAGAAGGGCAGAGACUCUCAUUCCCAACCUCAGGCAUCGAGCUGAGAGGGCUAGACCUUGAGAAAUAGAACAAGUGGAGAUUGGACAGGAAGUGGGGCAGAGUCAAGGAAUGCUGUGGGUGGGUGACAGCUGGGCAGAGGUCAGAACUGCUGGGCCUGGGAGGACAGAGUUGGCUUAUUCUUAUUUCUUUCUCUACCCCGUCUCCAUCCCCAAGGCAUUUGAGCUAGUGGAAUGAAGAAAGACAGAAAAGAAAACAAACCAGCAAAAAAACAUGGAGGCAGGAAGAAAGAAUAGAAUGAGAAGUAAAAAACGAGUGGGAAAGAAUGGUCAAGUGGUGCUUACAUGGCCUUGAGAAGUUCUGGGCUCAUGAGGGAAGAGGAUCAAAAAAUAUCUAGAUGAGGUUGCAAAGGAGGAGAGGCAGGAGCCAGCAGCCAUGAAACAAAAGAGAUGAGCCAACAGCCCAUAACCAUUACGGCAGCACAGCCCCACUGGCCUUGGCCAAAGUAACUGAGCUGGAAAUGCUUUCAAAGGUCAUGUGGAUGACUCCCCUCCUUUUCCAGAUAAGGAGAUGGAGGUAUGGGGGGAGGUGACUUGGAGAGCUUGUUUCUUGCACACCGUACCAUGCUCUGCCCCCCACAGAGCAAUGUGAGGGUGGUCUCUGUAUAUUUGCGAACACUCACAAUAUCCUCAGCUUACCGUGCCUAAGGAUAUAGCAGUAACAUUACUUUAAAAUGAAUAUGUUGAACGUUAUACAUCCAAAUACUGUUGUCCUUCAAAGUAGUCCGUACAUUGCAGCUCCUUAUUCUAACACCUGCCUAAUAUAUUUAAGUUAACCAGUGAAUUGUGGCUGUUAUUGUUCAAACUAUUUGUACCAAGUAAGGAAACACGCAAGGAAAAGACAAACGAAUGUGUGUGAAAACACAUGAUUUGAAACCUGAAACUGAUUACCCAUGUCAUGCACCAGGCAUGAGCCCAGUGGCUUUGGCUUUCUCCAAAAAGAAAAAAAAUCCACCCUCAAGGGAUGAUGAUGGGUUUCCAAGAACACUUUGAAAAGAAUGUAGUUGAGGAUGCUACAUUUAUGAUAGAGGUAGCCUUCAGUCAUACAUCAUUGCUGUAAAGCGACACCUAGUGAGGCGCUGUUAUUUCACAAUGAGCUGUUUGGAGAAGCAAGGCUUCGGGUGUAUUCUAAAGUUGGAGCCAAUGGAAGAGGUUGCUGUUGGCCUGUGCAAGCGCCUAGUGCAUGGAACUGACUCUAAGGCUCAGACCACGUGGUCAAGCCCCAGAGCAGGGUAGGGUGGGAAGACAGCUGAGGUAUAGGUGGUCUGUGUGGUAUAUGUAGACCCUUCAAAUGGAAAGAUGCUGCUGUCCCCACACUGUCUGGCAUCACUGUUUAAUCACCCGUGUCUCUACUAUUCUCGUCCUGCCACUAUCAAUUCAUGGCACAGCACUCUCGGCCGACCUGGGGGAGAACGUCAUUCUUAAGCUCUACCUGCCAUCGUUUCCUCUGCAGGAAAGCGAGCCCAGUGCUGAGCAUGGGGAGAACCUCUGGGCUCUUUAUGUAGGAUUUGAAGAGCGCAGAUCUGAGGCCUCACUUGCGAAAGCACCGUGAAGAAAGCAAAUCCUCCUCUAACAGUGUGUUUUUGCCCAGAACUGCUUCUAAGUCGGGGGAAUUUCAUGAAGCCUGGGAGAGUCACAGUGAGCGUUCUCUCCAGCCCAGCAUCUUGGUGAGGCCCAUGUGUGAUAAGACCACCGAAACCACAAAGGAAUUUACCACGGGAAGUGUCCCAGCAGUUGCUUAUUAGCAUUAGAACAAUUACACAAAGUCCAUUGUUAGCAGACAUGUUUUCAUGAUCCUUAACUGGUGGCAGUAAAUAACAGCCAUUCUCUUUCAAGCAAAUGCUAGAUUUCCAAAAAUCCAGCUUCUAAUUUUCUGUGCAGGGAUCAUCUUGGAUUAGGACAACCAUUGGAGUGGAUGAUACCCCAGAAGCUGAGGUGCCCAGCGCUCUACCUGCAGGAGCAGGGCGGAACACACAGAAGCUGCCUGCGGGUGGAUGGGGGUGAUGCAGCUGGGUUUGACAUCACAGAAUGGAAACAGGGAGGUUUGUUCCCCUGGAUGUCUGACCGUCUGCUGGACCAUCCCCAGGGUUCUUAGUGUGGUCCUCUCUUGCCACAGGGGAGGGAUAGGGGCACAUGGCAAGGCAACAGGAGAGCCUGGCAGGUGCUCAGUUCUUGGAGUGUUUAUGA
rnacentral:lncRNA from 1 species